CGCCCGAAGACGGAAGGGGCACAUAACUGAUAAUUCUGAAAGCUGGUUCUUUGUAAGAGCCAUCCAUGGCGGCACUAAAUGUUUACGCAUCAAGUAACCCAGAUAAAGUUCAUACGGACGUGCUCUUCAAAGCAAGAGAAGGUUGUUACAAGACUCGUGACGCUUUUUAUUCGUGCUUGGAGAAAGAAGCCAACGAGAAACCAACUGAAAUCGCCUCUGUGGGCCUCUUGUACCCAGUUGAAUGCAAGAAAUCGAGGGAGGAUUUUCUCAAGAGUUGCCGAACUUCUUGGGUGAAGCAUUUCGAUAGAUUGUUUUGCAAGAACAAGAGGGUACAGAGGCUAUUGGAUGAUGGUGGUCAAACAACAAGGAGAGGAGUGUAAAGCUGGAUUGGGAAUGCAAGGAGGCCUAUAAUGGGUUUAAGACUUUCAGCAAAUUUACGGGCUUGGUUAUUUCUUGUCGAGUUGUUUCUGGUUGCUGUUUAAAUCUGAUUGAAAAGGUGUAUUUGAACCUAAUACGAUUACAUUCUUUAUACUAAUAAAGAAUGUAAAUUCAGGCACAUGGAUGAUGUGGUGCCCCCAAUGCAUAGAAAAUUUAACCUUGCUGUAUAGUGGUAAUCUGAAUUUUGUAAGAGGUUACCCAAAUUCAAGAAGUGGCGGAUUUGAAAAAUGGAUGAUCGCUUAUUUGUAUGGUCAAACAUAGCAGGUACAACCUGUGGACUGGAGUGAUCCACUGCAGUGCAGUUACGACUUGUUGUAGAAAUAUGAUGAGCAAAUACAUGUGUUAAGUAUCUGCUGGCUAGGGUUUGUAUAUAAAAGUUGUUAUAAAAAGUAUGUGAAAAAAUAGAGUGUGCUGCCACAAAUUAGAGGCUAAGAAUAAGAGCUCAAACAGAGAGAACGAAGAAAUAUCUUCUUCAUCUUGUAAUCUUUUUCAUUUAUAGUGGAAUUUUUCUCCAUCAUCUA